CGGGGUGUAGCGCAGAUGGUAGCGCGCAUGGUUCGGGACCAUGAGGCCGCUGGUUCAAGUCCAGUCACUCCGACCA
rnacentral:tRNA from 1 species